UAGUAAAUACCCCUUCUCCCAUAUUUUUUUUUAUAACACCGAGUUCUACAUUUAAUCAUCUAUAUGUAUGGUGACAGGUGGAGAAAUCCUGAAGUAUUAAGUCUGCCAUUGUAUUUUCAUGAAGAGAUUAAAUCAGUAUUUCGCGGUCCAUGGUCAACAGGCCUCCUGCAUUUAUCCUCAGAUAUUAAAUUAUAGUGCAUAUUGGAAAAA